rnacentral:rRNA from 1 species
GGGGAAUAUUGCACAAUGGGCGCAAGCCUGAUGCAGCGACGCCGCGUGGGGGAUGAAGGCCUUCGGGUUGUAAACUCCUUUCGCUAGGGACGGAGCUUUUUGGUGACGGUACCUAGAUAAGAAGCACCGGCUAACUACGUGCCAGCAGCCGCGGUAAUACGUAGGGUGCGAGCGUUGUCCGGAAUUACUGGGCGUAAAGGGCUCGUAGGUGGUUUGUCGCGUCGUCUGUGAAAUUCUGGGGCUUAACUCCGGGCGUGCAGGCGAUACGGGCAUAACUUGAGUGCUGUAGGGGUAACUGGAAUUCCUGGUGUAGCGGUGAAAUGCGCAGAUAUCAGGAGGAACACCGAUGGCGAAGGCAGGUUACUGGGCAGUUACUGACGCUGAGGAGCGAAAGCAUGGGUAGCGAACAGGAUUAGAUACCCUGGUAGUCCAUGCCGUAAACGGUGGGCGCUAGGUGUGAGGGUCUUUCUACGACUUUCGUGCCGUAGCUAACGCAUUAAGCGCCCCGCCUGGGGAGUACGGCCGCAAGGCUA